AGUCGAACGGCAGCACAGGGGAGCUUGCUCCCUGGGUGGCGAGUGGCGGACGGGUGAGGAAUACAUCGGAAUCUGCCUAUACGUGGGGGAUAACCUCGGGAAACCGGGACUAAUACCGCAUACGACCUACGGGUGAAAGCAGGGGACCUUCGGGCCUUGCGCGGAUAGAUGAGCCGAUGUCGGAUUAGCUAGUUGGCGGGGUAAAGGCCCACCAAGGCGACGAUCCGUAGCUGGUCUGAGAGGAUGAUCAGCCACACUGGAACUGAGACACGGUCCAGACUCCUACGGGAGGCAGCAGUGGGGAAUAUUGGACAAUGGGCGCAAGCCUGAUCCAGCCAUGCCGCGUGGGUGAAGAAGGCCUUCGGGUUGUAAAGCCCUUUUGUUGGGAAAGAAAAGCAGUCGGUUAAUACCCGAUUGUUCUGACGGUACCCAAAGAAUAAGCACCGGCUAACUUCGUGCCAGCAGCCGCGGUAAUACGAAGGGUGCAAGCGUUACUCGGAAUUACUGGGCGUAAAGCGUGCGUAGGUGGUUUGUUAAGUCUGAUGUGAAAGCCCUGGGCUCAACCUGGGAAUUGCAUUGGAUACUGGCAGGCUAGAGUGCGGUAGAGGAUGGCGGAGUUCCUGGUGUAGCAGUGACAUGCGUAGAGAUCAGGAGGAACAUCCGUGGCGAAGG
rnacentral:rRNA from 1 species